CCUACGGGAGGCAGCAGUGAGGAAUAUUGGUCAAUGGACGUACGUCUGAACCAGCCAAGUCGCGUGAAGGAUGACUGCCCUAUGGGUUGUAAACUUCUUUUAUAUGGGAGUAAAAUGUUCCACGUGUAGGAUGUUGGAUGUACCAUAUGAAUAAGGAUCGGCUAAAUCCGGUCCAGCAGCCGCGGUAAUACGGAGGAUCCGAGCGUUAUCCGGAUUUAUUGGGUUUAAAGGGAGCGUAGGUGGAUUGUUAAGUCAGUUGUGAAAGUUUGCGGCUCAACCGUAACAUUGCAGUUGAAACUGGCAGUCUUGAGUACAGUAGAGGUGGGCGGAAUGCGUGGUGUAGCGGUGAAAUGCUUAGAUAUCACGAAGAACUCCGAUUGCGAAGGCAGUUCACUGGACCGCAACUGACACUGAGGCUCGAAAGCGUGGGUAUCAAACAGGAUUAGAUACCCUUGUAGUC
rnacentral:rRNA from 1 species